rnacentral:rRNA from 1 species
GACGAACGCUGGCGGCGUGCUUAACACAUGCAAGUCGAACGCAGUGGCAAACGGGUGAGUAACGCGUAAUCAACAUGCCCUUCAGAGGGGGACAACAGUUGGAAACGACUGCUAAUACAGCAUACUGAAGGCGGGGCUUGCGUCUGAUUAGCGAGUUGGAGGGGUAACGGCCAACCAAGGCGAGGAUCAGUAGCCGGUCGGAGAGGAUGAACGGCCACAUUGGGACUGAGACACGGCCCAGACUCCUACGGGAGGCAGCAGUGGGGAAUCUUCCGCAAUGGACGAAAGUCUGACGAAGCAACGCCGCGUGAGUGAUGACGGCCUUCGGGUGGUAAAGCUCUGUUAAUCGGGACGCGGUACCGGAAUAGAAAGCCACGGCUAACUACGUGCCAGCAGCCGCGGUAAUAC